rnacentral:rRNA from 1 species
GGCCCUCGGGUCGUAAACUGCUGUCAGAAGGGAAGAACGGCCACGUGGUUAAUACCCACGAGGCGUGACGGUACCUUCAAAGGAAGCACCGGCUAACUCCGUGCCAGCAGCCGCGGUAAUACGGAGGGUGCAAGCGUUGUUCGGAAUUACUGGGCGUAAAGCGCGUGUAGGCGGCUAGGUAAGUCGGAUGUGAAAGCCCGGGGCUCAACCCCGGAACUGCACCCGAAACUGCUUGGCUAGAGUCCCGGAGAGGAAGGCAGAAUUCCCAGUGUAGGGGUGAAAUCCGUAGAUAUUGGGAGGAAUACCAGUGGCGAAGGCGGCCUUCUGGACGGUGACUGACGCUCAGACGCGAAAGCGUGGGUAGCAAACAGGAUUAGAUACCCUGGUAGUCCACGCCGUAAACGUUGUGCACUAGGUGUCGGGGGUAUUCACCCCUCCGGUGCCGCAGCUAACGCAUUAAGUGCACCGCCUGGGGAGUACGGCCGCAAGGCUAAAACUCAAAGGAAUUGACGGGGGCCCGCACAAGCGGUGGAGCAUGUGGUUUAAUUCGAUGCAACGCGAAGAACCUUACCUGGGCUUGACAUCUAGGGAACCUCCCCGAAACGGGAGGGUGCCUUCGGGAACCCUAAGACAGGUGCUGCAUGGCUGUCGUCGGCUCGUGUCGUGAGAUGUUGGGUUAAGUCCCGCAACGAGCGCAACCCUUGUCCUUAGUUGCCAUCA